rnacentral:tRNA from 1 species
AAAGAUUUAGUUAAUUCCACAAUAAUAUAAAUUUGUCAAAUUUAAGUAAUUUAAUUAUAUAAAAUAAUCUUUU